rnacentral:rRNA from 1 species
GAUGAACGCUGGCGGCGUGCCUAAUACAUGCAAGUCGAGCGAACGGACGAGAAGCUUGCUUCUCUGACGUUAGCGGCGGACGGGUGUGUAACACGUGGAUAAUCUACCUAUAAGACUGGGAUAACUUCGGGAAACCGGCGCUUAUACCGGAUAAUAUUUUGCACCGCAUGGUUCAAAAGUGAAAGACGGUCUUUCUGUCACUUCUAGAUGGAUCCGCGCUGCAUUAGCUAGUUGGUACGGUAAAGGCUUACCAAGGCAACGAUGCAUAGCCGACGUGAUAGGGGGAUCGGCCACACUAGAACUGGGACAGGGACCAGGGUCCUACGGGAGGCAGCAGUAGGGAAUCGUCCGCAGUGGGCGAAAGCCUGGCGGAACAACGCCGCGUGAGUGAUGAAAGUCUUCGGAUCGUAAAACUCUGUUAUGAGGGAUGAACAUAUGUGUAAGUAGCUGUACACAUCGUGACGGUACCUAAUCAGAAAGCCACGGCUAACUACGUG